rnacentral:rRNA from 1 species
GCCGCGAAUUCGCCCUUAGGGUUUGAUCAUGGCUCAGAUUGAACGCUGGCGGCAGGCCUAACACAUGCAAGUCGAGCGGUAGCACAGGAGAGCUUGCUCUCCGGGUGACGAGCGGCGGACGGGUGAGUAAUGUCUGGGAAACUGCCCGAUGGAGGGGGAUAACCACUGGAAACGGUGGCUAAUACCGCAUAACGUCUACGGACCAAAGAGGGGGACCUUCGGGCCUCUUGCCAUCGGAUGUGCCCAGAUGGGAUUAGCUAGUAGGUGGGGUAACGGCUCACCUAGGCGACGAUCCCUAGCUGGUCUGAGAGGAUGACCAGCCACACUGGAACUGAGACACGGUCCAGACUCCUACGGGAGGCAGCAGUGGGGAAUAUUGCACAAUAGGCGCAGGCCUGAUGCAGCCAUGCCGCGUGUGUGAAGAAGGCCUUCGGGUUGUAAAGCACUUUCAGCGAGGAGG